rnacentral:ncRNA from 1 species
GGACCGUAACAUGUGCGGAUCCAAUGCGUUUCACGAGUAAACACAAUUAAAUACCGCCAGGAUUCCAUGUGAACCGGGACGGGAGG